GAGUACGAAGAACAGAAAGAAGGACAGACCUUCUAAAGGUACAUUUGAUUUGCUCAUAAUUGAAACUAAUCUCACGAUUUUCUCUUCUUCAAGUUGAGUUCUAGAUUCUGAUUCAAGUGCUUACUUGUGCACUUCUAUGUAAGGUCUGGAAGAAGUUAUUGAAGGAAAAAUAGGUAGUUCCAUGCAUGCAAUUUUAAAAUUUUUAAGCGAAACAUGAUAGAUUAAAUAAUUUAAUCUA
rnacentral:lncRNA from 1 species